AACGAACGCUGGCGGCAUGCCUAACACAUGCAAGUCGAACGAGACCUUCGGGUCUAGUGGCGCACGGGUGCGUAACGCGUGGGAAUCUGCCCUUGGGUUCGGAAUAACAGUUGGAAACGACUGCUAAUACCGGAUGACGACGUAAGUCCAAAGAUUUAUCGCCCAAGGAUGAGCCCGCGUAGGAUUAGCUAGUUGGUGAGGUAAAGGCUCACCAAGGCGACGAUCCUUAGCUGGUCUGAGAGGAUGAUCAGCCACACUGGGACUGAGACACGGCCCAGACUCCUACGGGAGGCAGCAGUGGGGAAUAUUGGACAAUGGGCGAAAGCCUGAUCCAGCAAUGCCGCGUGAGUGAUGAAGGCCUUAGGGUUGUAAAGCUCUUUUACCCGGGAUGAUAAUGACAGUACCGGGAGAAUAAGCUCCGGCUAACUCCGUG
rnacentral:rRNA from 1 species